rnacentral:rRNA from 1 species
AAUAGAUACCCGGUAGUCCACGCCGUAAACGAUGAGUGCUAAGUGUUAGAGGGUUUCCGCCCCUUAGUGCUGCAGCUAACGCAUUAAGCACUCCGCCUGGGGAGUACGGCCGCAAGGCUGAGACUCAAAGGAAUUGACGGGGGCCCGCACAAGCGGUGGAGCAUGUGGUUUAAUUCGAAGCAACGCGAAGAACCUUACCAGGUCUUGACAUCCUCUGCCAACCCUAGAGAUAGGGCGUUCCCCUUCGGGGGACAGAGUGACAGGUGGUGCAUGGUUGUCGUCAGCUCGUGUCGUGAGAUGUUGGGUUAAGUCCCGCAACGAGCGCAACCCUUGAUCUUAGUUGCCAGCAUUCAGUUGGGCACUCUAAGGUGACUGCCGGUGACAAACCGGAGGAAGGUGGGGAUGACGUCAAAUCAUCAUGCCCCUUAUGACCUGGGCUACACACGUGCUACAAUGGAUGGUACAAAGAGCUGCGAACCCGCGAGGGUAAGCGAAUCUCAUAAAGCCAUUCUCAGUUCGGAUUGUAGG